rnacentral:rRNA from 1 species
UACGUAGGGGGCUAGCGUUGUUCGGAAUUACUGGGCGUAAAGCGCACGUAGGCGGGUUGUUAAGUCAGGGGUGAAAUCCUGGAGCUCAACUCCAGAACUGCCUUUGAUACUGGCAACCUAGAGACUGGAAGAGGUUAGUGGAAUUCCCAGUGUAGAGGUGAAAUUCGUAGAUAUUCGGAGGAACACCAGUGGCGAAGGCGGCUCACUGGUCCGGUACUGACGCUGAGGUGCGAAAGCGUGGGGAGCAAACAGG